ACGGGAGGCAGCAGUGGGGGAUAUUGCACAAUGGGGGAAACCCUGAUGCAGCGACGCCGCGUGAGCGAAGAAGAUCUUCGGAUUGUAAAGCUCUGUCUUAGGGGACGAUAAUGACGGUACCCUGAGAGGAAGCCACGGCUAACUACGUGCCAGCAGCCGCGGUAAUACGUAGGUGGCAAGCGUUGUCCGGAAUUACUGGGUGUAAAGGGAGCGCAGGCGGUCGAUCAAGUUGGAGGUGAAAAUUAUGGGCUCAACCCAUAACCUGCCUUCAAAACUGAACGACUUGAGUGGUGUAGAGGUGAGUGGAAUUCCCAGUGUAGCGGUGGAAUGCGUAGAUAUUGGGAGGAACACCAGUGGCGAAGGCGGCUCACUGGGCACUAACUGACGCUGAGGCUCGAAAGCAUGGGUAGCAAACAGGAUUAGAUACCCUGGUA
rnacentral:rRNA from 2 species